AAGAAUUAGUUAAAAAUAUAAUAUAAUAUAAACUUGUCAUGUUUAAGUUGUGGCACCAUUCUUAAAUACCUCAAA
rnacentral:tRNA from 1 species